rnacentral:lncRNA from 1 species
CACAGUGAAGCACGUAUGCUCUAUACAAUCCAUAACACAUGUGAUGAGGUAGAAAAUAAAGUGGCUGCAGAUCUAGGAUGUGGCUGUGGAGUGCUUAGUCUUGGAACUGCAAUGUUAGGAGCCAGGUUGUAUGUUGGAUUUGACAUAGAUGCAGGUGCACUAGGAAUAUUUAAUAGGCAUGUGGAAGAGUCUGAAUUAACAUAUGUUGGCAUGGUUCAACGUGAUGUGUGCUCAUUAUCUAAUGGAAUGUCCAAGUCAGUUGAGACAGCAAUUUUGAAUCCUCCUUUUGGGACCAAAAAUAAUAAAGGGACAGACAUGGCUUUUCCAAAGACCACUUUGGAAAUGGCAAGAACAGCAGUAUAUUCUUUACCCAAAUCUUCAACUAGAAAACAUGUUCAAAACAAAGCUGCAGAAUGGAAAAUCAAGACAGAUGUUAUUGCAGAGCUUCGAGAUGAUCUGCCAGCAUCACACAACUUUCAGGAAAAGGAAUCAACGGACAGUGAAAUGGACCUAAUUCAGUUUUCUUUU